rnacentral:rRNA from 1 species
AGAGUUUGAUCCUGGCUCAGGAUGAACGCUGGCGGCGUGCCUAACACAUGCAAGUCGAACGGGCGCGGCGUGCGGCAGGGGCCUCGGCCCCUGCGGCGCCGCGCGAGUGGCGGACGGGUGAGUAACGCGUGGGCAACCUGCCCUGUACUGGGGGAUAACACCUGGAAACAGGUGCUAAUACCGCAUAAGCGCGGCGUGCCGCAUGGCAUGGCGCGGAAAACCCCGGUGGUACAGGAUGGGCCCGCGUCUGAUUAGCUGGUUGGCAGGGUAACGGCCUACCAAGGCGACGAUCAGUAGCCGGCCUGAGAGGGUGGACGGCCACACUGGGACUGAGACACGGCCCAGACUCCUACGGGAGGCAGCAGUGGGGGAUAUUGCACAAUGGGGGGAACCCUGAUGCAGCGACGCCGCGUGGGUGAAGGAGCGUUUCGGCGCGUAAAGCCCUAUCGGCAGGGAAGAAGAUGACGGUACCUGACCAAGAAGCCCCGGCUAACUACGUG